GGCUAUUCUGGGCAACCUCACUGAUGUCUCACAAGUCACAAUAACCUCAUAACUCGAGUUAAACUCGAUUUUGUGACUUUUUCGUAUUCUAACGAAAACCUCACAGUCACAAGAACCUCAUAAGGUGUGAACAAAUUAAAGUUUUUUAUAUUUGUGAAUUGUGAUUCAACAAAAAUGGAAUUAGACCUUGUUUUGUUCCAUCUUAUUGGUUGCAUCUGGAGAUAGUUUCUCAGAAGUCAUCGUUGUACAUUUGCGAUGUAUGGCUGCAUCGGCGUUACUUUGGACAACGAUUUUUUUAAUCACAGCAUAAUGAUUUUAUGCUUGAGAUCCAAAGAGAGCUAGAGUAGCUCAAGGAGUGGCCAUCAUUCAUCAUAUCGCUCAAAUCGAAAGAGAACGAAGUUCAUGGACGCACAACGAACGAGCCAUGUUCGAACCAUAUAGGAUUUCAUUGCAUUUCUUAAACACAACAACCACCCCUAUCUUGUGAUUCCAUUACAUAUAAAGUUAUCAAAGAGUUGGAGGCUGUUGUGCCAAAGAAUUAUAUCAUUGCAACCAACACAAAUAUAAUUCCAAUCACAAAAAUAGCCGCAGGUAGCUUUCGACCACACAAAGUUUUUGGUAUGAAUUAUUUUUCGCCACUGGGCAAGAUGAAAUUGCUGGAAAUCAUAACACACCCACGAAGGACACAGGAGCGGCUACAAAUGUUGCUGCGGGAUUGAAAAAAGGCAAAUUUUUGUCACCAACAGUUGGUUGCGGAUUCCAUACCUAGUACUCGAAAUUUAGGCACUAUGCUUUAAGAAGCUAUCAGGCUUCUUCUUUAGGGUGUUGAUCUAAAAGAUUUGAACAAAAUGAUCAAAACGUUUGGAUUCCCCGGAGCUGCAACCUUAGCUGAUGGAGUUGGUAUCGAUGUUGGAUCCUACAUCGCUGUUGACUUAUCAAAAGCAUUUGGUGACCGAUUCAGUGGACGCAAUGUAGAAGUUAUGCAAGAUCAACUUUCCAAAAUCAGCCUCCAGUUGAGAAAAGAUACAAAUUAACUUCAAUUCACGAUAAUUCUGUUUACAUAAGCAGCGAUAACGAAUCCAACUGCGUCUGCAACAACAUCAACAAAAAAUAAUGCAACUACCAGACAAACAAUGUCCGAAUUUCACAAAUCAUUUGUAGUCUCAGUCUUAUUUUUACCAAGACUUCACCGUAAUGCACAACAAAAUUUUUAUUUAUAAAAAUUUUAUUUGUAUUAGAUAUAAAAAAUCUUUCCCGGAGUAAAUUCUAGAAACUAAAUAACUUUUAUUAUUUUAUCUAUUUUUUAUUAUUUAAAAUACAUAUUUUAAGAAAAAUGAUUAUACAUAUUAACAUGCAUCUAAAAAUAAAAACCAUAACCACAACCAAAAUCAAAAACUUGUCGUGUAUUUUGCAAUCUAUUCAUAAAAGGGAGACGAACAGCAGUUAAAGAGGAGACAAGCUUUCUACUCCUUUUGUCAAGCAAGUAAGUUAGCUACCAUC